rnacentral:rRNA from 1 species
AUUGAACGCUGGCGGCAUGCCUUACACAUGCAAGUCGAACGGUAACAGGUCUUCGGAUGCUGACGAGUGGCGAACGGGUGAAUAAUACAUCGGAACGUGCCCAGUCGUGGGGGAUAACGUAGCGAAAGUUACGCUAAUACCGCAUACGAUCUACGGAUGAAAGCGGGGGACCGUAAGGCCUCGCGCGAUUGGAGCUGCCGAUGUCAGAUUAGGUAGUUGGUGAGGUAAAGGCUCACCAAGCCGACGAUCUGUAGCUGGUCUGAGAGGACGACCAGCCACACUGGGACUGAGACACGGCCCAGACUCCUACGGGAGGCAGCAGUGGGGAAUUUUGGACAAUGGGCGCAAGCCUGAUCCAGCCAUUCCGCGUGCAGGACGAAGGCCUUCGGGUUGUAAACUGCUUUUGUACGGAACGAAAAGGCUCUGGUUAAUACCUGGGGCUCAUGACGGUACCGUAAGAAUAAGCACCGGCUAACUACGUGCCAGCCGCCGCCGUAA